UAGGGAAUCUUCCGCAAUGGGCGAAAGCCUGACGGAGCAACGCCGCGUGAGUGAUGAAGGUCUUCGGAUCGUAAAACUCUGUUAUUAGGGAAGAACAAAUGUGUAAGUAACUAUGCACAUCUUGACGGUACCUAAUCAGAAAGCCACGGCUAACUACGUGCCAGCAGCCGCGGUAAUACGUAGGUGGCAAGCGUUAUCCGGAAUUAUUGGGCGUAAAGCGCGCGUAGGCGGUUUUUUAAGUCUGAUGUGAAAGCCCACGGCUCAACCGUGGAGGGUCAUUGGAAACUGGAAAACUUGAGUGCAGAAGAGGAAAGUGGAAUUCCAUGUGUAGCGGUGAAAUGCGCAGAGAUAUGGAGGAACACCAGUGGCGAAGGUGACUUUCUGGUCUGUAACUGACGCUGAUGUGCGAAAGCGUGGGGAGCGAACAGG
rnacentral:rRNA from 1 species